UAUGUGCACAAACCGUAUAUGAAUCUAUAAUUAUAGGGAAAUGCAUGUCAGAAAUAUUCUAUUCGAUACCAAGAAUCAAUUCGUAAACAUGACAAUAUCUAUUCAGUUUGAUACCGGUAACAAAUGUAUCUCAGUAAACUUCAGUACGUAGAAACAAUUUUAAACUUUGGAAUAUAAAACAAUAGAUACUGAUAGGAAGAUCCCUUGCUGUUUUGCCGUCGUUGAUCAAUCUUGAAGUAUGGUGUCUGGUGUAAUAAAACAGCUGUACGAUUUUGUUGUUGCCGUCAUUCAAUUAAGAGAAGAUAUCAAACGUUGUUAUUACUAUACAAAAGCUACAGUAUUGUUUUCAGCGCUGCUUAGUCUUACCUGCGGAGUAUACAUUAGACUCAGUACUUCAGAGGAAGACUCAGAUUUGGCAGUUUUAUCUACAACAUCCUACAUCUUUAUUACAACUGGAAUCGGUGUAUUAUUGGCUUUAUUGGUCAACAGGAUACUCUACAACUCCCAAGUAAUCUUCAUCAUUUGGAAUAUUUUGUACUUUUGUGCCGGAAUAAUUGGAGAAUCGUUUUCAGCAAUAACAGCAUUCCAGUACAUUUCACCUGAGCACACCAAAGAAUACUCACACACUACCAGAUGGUUCUUAAAUCUGAUCAUGUUUACUGGAUUCAGUUUGACUUUGUUACAGGUAUUUGCACUGGCUGCUUCCAUGACUUGGCUUAUGCUCAAUGUGGAAAGGAAAAAGGACUGAUACAUUUAUUUUUCUUCCAUCAGUAAACAAUGGUGUCAUAAGUACAAAGUAUAAGUUAACAGACGAAUUCAUGACAUUUUAACAACUUCUAAAAUGGUCAUAAAUUGGACUAUAUAUUUAUGUAUUAACAGAAUAUAUGAAAAUUAUAAAAUUAUUUUUUUAAAGUGCUGGACAUUCUGUUUGUUGAAUGAUAUCCAUUUUCAUUUGUUUCAUUAAACAUUUUACAAUA